AUAACGACUCUCGGCAACGGAUAUCUCGGCUCUCGCAUCGAUGAAGAACGUAGCGAACUGYGAUACUUGGUGUGAAUUGCAGAAUCCCGUGAACCAUCGAGUCUUUGAACGCAAGUUGCGCCCGAAGCCAUUCGGUCGAGGGCACGUUUGCCUGGGUGUCAC
rnacentral:rRNA from 1 species